UACAUGGGGUGCAAACGUUGCUCGGAAUUAUUGGGCGUAAAGCGCACGUAGGCGGUUCGUUAAGUCAGGUGUGAAAGCCCUCGGCUCAACCGAGGAAGUGCACCUGAAACUGGCGAGCUAGAGUACUAAAGAGGGUCGCGGAAUUCCCGGUGUAGAGGUGAAAUUCGUAGAUAUCGGGAGGAACACCGGUGGCGAAGGCGGCGACCUGGGUAGAUACUGACGCUGAGGUGCGAAAGCGUGGGGAGCAAACAGG
rnacentral:rRNA from 1 species